rnacentral:rRNA from 1 species
CCUACGGGAGGCAGCAGUGGGGAAUAUUGGACAAUGGGCGCAAGCCUGAUCCAGCCAUGCCGCGUGUGUGAUGAAGGCCUUAGGGUUGUAAAGCACUUUCGACGGGGACGCGGUACCCGUAGAAGAAGCCCCGGCUAACUUCGUGCCAGCAGCCGCGGUAAUACGAAGGGGGCUAGCGUUGCUCGGAAUCACUGGGCGUAAAGGGUGCGUAGGCGGACAUUUAAGUCAGGGGUGAAAGCCUGAGGCUCAACCUCAGAAUUGCCUUUGAUACUGGGUGUCUCGAGACCGGUAGAGGUGAGUGGAACUGCGAGUGUAGAGGUGAAAUUCGUAGAUAUUCGCAAGAACACCAGUGGCGAAGGCGGCUCACUGGACCGGUCUGACGCUGAGGCACGAAAGCGUGGGGAGCAAACAGGAUUAGAUACCCUGGUAGUC